rnacentral:rRNA from 1 species
AUUGAACGCUGGCGGCAGGCCUAACACAUGCAAGUCGAACGGAGUGGCGGAAGGGUGAGUAAUGCCUAGGAAUCUGCCUGGUAGAGGGGGAUAACGUCCGGAAACGGGCGCUAAUACCGCAUAAUAUCAGAUGAGCCGAGGUAGGAUUAGCUAGUGGGUGGGGUAAAGGCUUACCAAGGCGACGAUCCGUACAUGGUCUGAGAGGAUGAUCAGCCACACUGGAACUGAGACACGGUCCAGACUCCUACGGGAGGCAGCAGGGGGGAAUAUUGGACAAUGGGCGAAAGCCUGAUCCAGCCAUGCCGCGUGUGUGAAGAAGGUCUUCGGAUUGUAAAGCACUUUAAGUUGGGAGGCGUUACCAACAGAAUAAGCACCGGCUAACUUCGUGCCAGCCGCCGCGGUAAUUC